rnacentral:rRNA from 1 species
AGUCGAGCGGAUCUUCAUUAGCUUGCUUUUGAAGAUCAGCGGCGGACGGGUGAGUAACACGUGGGCAACCUGCCUGUAAGACUGGGAUAACUUCGGGAAACCGGAGCUAAUACCGGAUAAUCCUUUCCCUCACAUGAGGGAAAGCUGAAAGACGGUUUCGGCUGUCACUUACAGAUGGGCCCGCGGCGCAUUAGCUAGUUGGUGAGGUAACGGCUCACCAAGGCAACGAUGCGUAGCCGACCUGAGAGGGUGAUCGGCCACACUGGGACUGAGACACGGCCCAGACUCCUACGGGAGGCAGCAGUAGGGAAUCUUCCGCAAUGGACGAAAGUCUGACGGAGCAACGCCGCGUGAGCGAUGAAGGCCUUCGGGUCGUAAAGCUCUGUUGUCAGGGAAGAACAAGUAUCGGAGUAACUGCCGGUACCUUGACGGUACCUGACCAGAAAGCCACGGCUAACUACGUGCCAGCAGCCGCGGUAAUACGUAGGUGGCAAGCGUUGUCCGGAAUUAUUGGGCGUAAAGCGCGCGCAGGCGGUUCCUUAAGUCUGAUGUGAAAGCCCCCGGCUCAACCGGGGAGGGUCAUUGGAAACUGGGGAACUUGAGUGCAGAAGAGGAGAGCGGAAUUCCACGUGUAGCGGUGAAAUGCGUAGAGAUGUGGAGGAACACCAGUGGCGAAGGCGGCUCUCUGGUCUGUAACUGACGCUGAGGCGCGAAAGCGUGGGGAGCGAACAGGAUUAGAUACCCUGGUAGUCCACGCCGUAAACGAUGAGUGCUAAGUGUUAGAGGGUUUCCGCCCUUUAGUGCUGCAGCAAACGCAUUAAGCACUCCGCCUGGGGAGUACGGCCGCAAGGCUGAACUCAAGGAAUUGACGGGGGCCCGCACAAGCGGUGGAGCAUGUGGUUUAAUUCGAAGCAACGCGAGACUUACCAGGUCUUGACAUCCUCUGACACCCUAGAGAUAGGGCUUUCCCUUCGGGG